AUCACGCAAGAGUUGCGUCAUUGCUCGUGAGAGCUCGACAGGUGUGGGAGGGGAAAUUCAGACCACGUUAAUGGAGGUCGAGCGUGAGUUACCCUAAAACGUCACAAGAGUUAAAGUGCUAAAUAAUGUCUCUGUCAAAUGUGAGCAGAUUAUUACAGAGAGAAUAAAACCGUUUGACAGGAAGAUCAAUGGUUGACUUGAUUGAUUGAGCAUCCACCCAAAUGAAUGACACCCCGGAGACACUCUCCCUGUGUCAGAUGGAUAGAUGUACCAAUACUGAUGAUCUAAAAAUCAAGAUUGCUUGGAAAGCACAUCAAUGCAGUAACAAAUUAUGUGCGUGAGCACAUUCUGCAGUUUAGAAGAGGUCUACAGGAGAACAAAUGUCCAUGUCUUUCUCUCAUUUUUGCUGUUGCUGAAAAUAAAUACAAUUAUCUUAUAAUGGGAUCCAUAGAGAUAAAAGUAGUCUUCUAUCAAACCUCUGACAGAGAAAGGAUGUUGAAUGGAUAGAAACUCCAGUUAAAGUGCUUCUUUUAUCAGCACACCUUUUUAUAUGCAAAUGUGGCAAGUUGCCUAUUUACUGGUACAGGAAUUCAGGUGAGAAUUCAUUGCAUCUCUUCUCCAGCUGUGGCCUAUAAUCAAGUGCUGACAAACUCAAAUGUGGAAAAACAUAUUUGGGUUCAUAUGUGUUGGAAAACCAGCAUUUGCAGUUGU